UAACUACUAAAACUACUAUAUUUGAUCAAAAUUUUAAGUGAACUUUUUAGAAUUAUUUAACUCAAUAAAUACUGAAAGUUAAAAUAAUAUUAAUAAAAAAUAAUUUUUAUAAUGCAUAAAAGAUUACAUGAUUUUUUUUUUUUGCAUUUUUUAUUAUUGUUUAUUAAUUUUAAAAUUUUAAUAAUUAUAUAUAUUGAUUGACUAGAAUACUAUCGACCCGCCGCGAAGUGCGGGACCUCCACUAGUGUAUUAAAAUUUAGUCAGCUAAAUUGGAUAGUAAAACUUUGUAUACUAAAAAUAAAAAUAAAAUAAAUUUACCGACCGUCCCUAGAGCAAGUGGCAAAGGCUUGGUGGUUGGUACCCGAGAUCCAAGUUCGAAUCCUAGUUGAUUCACAUUUCCAGCUAAGUUUAUUUCUAAAUGAAAUAAAACGAAGCGGAUAGUAUGCUAUCUAUCUCUCAAAAAAUAAAAAUAAAUAAAAAUAAAAUAAAUUUAUCUGAAUAUAUAUAUCAAGCAACUAAAAUUUGAAUUUGGGACCUUGAAUACCAAACCAUCAAAUCUUUUGCCCAUUGUGCUAGA
rnacentral:lncRNA from 1 species